UUUCUGAUUGCAAGCGUUUUAAUAAGCGCAGCUGCAAGCAUCACCGGCUUUGACAUUGAGGGGAGCUCCAUCUCCGUGAAUGGCCUAACUUCAAGUGGAGUAAGCCAUAACAUCAGUCUCAUGACCGCAUCCUGCCUAGCAAUGUUGUCAUGGCUACUGUCAAGCCAACAAUGGCAGUAGUGCUGAUUUCCAUCACUGAAAAACUACUCUGGUGUAUUAAUUAUUGUACAGCUUGAAUACUAAGCAUAACAGUAUAACUUGGGAUGUAGAUGUAAAUUAUGUUCACUAAGCACUUUCCUUUAGAACUAUCUUUCUUAGUGAUGGUUUUUAAUAAUGUAUUUUUUAAUUAUAAAGGAAAACAAAUAGCUCCCUGUGGGCUGCACAUCCUAACACUGAACUAAUGCAUACUGUUUUAUCAUGACAUGUUCUUAUUUAUAAAAACUAUUUAUUUAUACAAUCUUGCACAGCUGUAUUUUGUUAGAUGUCCUGUUCAUUGCACAAUUUCUGUCUGAAAUAACUUUACAAUGACGGGAAUAAAACAUUUUUAAAGAAAU